rnacentral:rRNA from 1 species
UACGUAGGGGCCAAGCGUUGUCCGGAUUUAUUGGGCGUAAAGAGCUCGUAGGCGGUUCGGCAAGUCAGCUGUGAAAUCUCCACGCUCAACGUGGAGGGGUCAGCUGAUACUGCUGUGACUCGAGUCCGGUAGGGGAGUGUGGAAUUCCCGGUGUAGCGGUGAAAUGCGCAGAUAUCGGGAAGAACACCCGUGGCGAAGGCGGUUCUCUGGGACGGUACUGACGCUGAGACGCGGAAGCGUGGGGAGCGAACAGG